CCCCGCGUAGCUCAACCUGGAAGCUGCCAAUUUUAAAAAAAUGGCUCGCUGGGUAAUGGAGCGCUCGGCUGUUGCCCGGGAGGUCGCUGGUUCAAAUCCGGCCGCGGGGA
rnacentral:tRNA from 1 species